GACAGACUGGCGCGCAGCGUGCGUUUCGGUUUUUGAACAGCUACGCAGCCCAAAAAAGCGAGACGCACGCGAGACGGCUGCUCGUUUAACUCAAUUCCUACGCCUAUUUCGAGAUCCCGCCGAAUAGAUCGGAGCUUCGCGGAGGAAUAUCUUCCAAUUGUACACUGUAUAUUCACCGGAAGCUGUCAUCUGUCUCUGUCCCUGUAGAUCACCAGUGCAGCAGAUCGAAAAACGGAGGAAAGUGUCCCCGAAAACGAGGGACACCAAGGAAAGCUUUUGCAACCUCGCCACCUCCUUCCGGCGAUUUCUAGCCCCCGCGCAGGUCUGAUCUUAAACUUCACAGAAGAAGACUUUUGCGCUGCAGAAGUUUCCACAGGAGGGACGGGUUGCUUCGCUGGCAGUGUGUCUUGACCCAUAUGCAUCGUCGAAUUUCUUUGCUCUUUCCAAUGCAUUUCUUCGGAGUCACUUCCGCGUGUAUGCUGCUGCGUUUCUGAGUUCACCUUCAUCGGCUUUUCUUCUGAACUUGUGCUACAUCUCCCUCCC
rnacentral:lncRNA from 1 species